rnacentral:rRNA from 1 species
CUGAAUCGCCAUAUCACUCUGCAGCCCAAGACUGGUUACUCACUGAAGCUAAGCAGGGCUGAGCCUGGUCAGUACCUGGAUGGGAGACCACAUGGGAAAACUAGGUUGAUGUUGGAA